rnacentral:lncRNA from 1 species
UCCUUCACAACAUCAUCACUAGCCACACCUCCAAACUUCACCACUCCAUAAACCCUCUCACCUUCUUCUCUUAUCACAACCCUCUCAUCAAUAGGCUUAGGUGCCUCUUCACCUUUUCCAUAGUUAGAUGGCAAAAUAAACUGCAUAGUGACCUUCUUAUUUGUCUCAUCACCACCACUCUUUGUAACAACCGGUGCCGUCAUCGGAAUCUUCUCUGAUAAAGUUGUUUCCUUUGUGAUAACUGGUGCUGUCAUAGCAAUCUUUUCAGGUUUUGUGUUUUGAGGGUUCCCUAAAGCUCCAAUAUAAUUUGCUAAAACCAUAAAUCCACCAUCUUUGUUGCCUUUGAAUUCUGAUGGAUCAUAUGUGACUUCAGCAGCUACAGAAGGUGCAUAUUUUCUGAUUUCAUAAUCUUGUGUUGUUUUGAUUACCUCAUAUUUUGGUGUCUCAACACCAAUUUUUCCAAAUACCAUACCCAUUAGGGAUUGAGAAUGGAAAAGGGUUUGAUGAGAGUUUGAAGAUAUUGGUAGGAGAUUUUGAUGGGUUGUAGAUGUGGCUUUCAAUCCUUUAUAUAACAACGGAUAAGGGAUUUGAAUUCCACGCAAUAACCCCAUGACGCAUUUAUUAAUUUUUUACGUUUGAUCUCAAAUCAACGAUAUAGAUAAUUUUCAAAUAAUUUUACAAUGGUGUAAUGUGAACCGACCAAUCUCAAAUUAAUGAAAAAGAUCAAUUAAUAGUAUAAAUAAGUAGUUUUUUAAGAGUUUUAUAACAAGGACAUGUAAGUGAUGGAAGUGUUAGCAAUGUUGAGAACUCUAUGAGGGUGACAUGACUUUGAGUUUCUUUGAGAAGGGGUUAGCAUUUAGAAAUUAGAGAUUCGGAUUUUGUUUAUAAAAUGAGUGGUUGUUAUUUUGCCAUAUUACCCAUGUUGUUUGUGGACUCCAUUUAUCCAUGACUCCAUUUGUGUCAUACUUGUUUUUGUUUCGUUAGAAUUAGUAGAACUUUUCUCUUUUGUUUUUACUUACACAAAAUUCUUUUGUUUUUUCAGAAUAUUUUUAAAAUAGUGAACUCUAGAUUGUCUCUAAAAAAUUGUCGCAAGUUAUCAACAAUUCUUUAAAAUCCAUCACGAUUUAGUGAAGUAUAGGUGAUUUAUUUUAAUUGGUUGUACAUAAUUUAUACAUUAUUUUUAAAAAAAAACAUAAUCUAGAAUUCCCCUUUUAAAAUACACUUGUUGACCCUUAAUUUUGUUGCUAUAUUUUUAUAUGUUCUAGUAUGUCUUUAAAUAAAUAAUAAGAUAAAAAAAUAAUAAUUUGUGAGACAUUUUAAAUUUAAUUCAAAAAUACUUUUGUUGUUUAUUUUAAAAUAGAAUAAUAAUAAUAUUCUAAAAUAUAAAAUGAAAAUAAUAAAAAUAAAUAAAUAAAUAAUUAUAAAAGGAAUAUUUAUUUCUCUUAUUGAUUUAUUUGAAUAUCUCUUAAAUUAGGUAGUAGAUUGGUUUAUCUUUUAAUUAAGAAUUUCAUUAAGGUAAUUAUUAAUAGCAAUAAUAAUUUCUUUAUUUUACGCUAAUUACUAAUAAUGAGUGAUUUGUAGAAAUAUCGACUUUAAUUUAUAAAAAAAAAAAAACAUAGUUUAUUUUUUUAAAUUAAUAAAAUAUUUGUGCAUUUAUAAGACUGACAUAUGAAAUGAAUAUUAUUGUUAUAAGAAAUGAAGAUUUUUAACUGUGACCCUUUAAAUUAUGCACUUUAAUACUAUUUUUUAAGAUAAAAUUUAAGAAUAUUAUAUCAAUAAAUCUAAUUGUGUUUUGAGAAGAUUCAAUACAAAAAUAUUUAUUAAAUAUGUAAUUAUUUUUUGUCCAAAAAAUAUAUUAUUGUUUGUGUAAAAAAUAAAAGAUACAAUGAAGGGACUUGCUUGAUAGAUACAUUCCUUUCAAUUAUUAAAAAAAAGAAAAUUAUACAAUUAUUUCAUAUAAAUUUGCUUUUUUUUUUUUUUUUCUUUCUCUUACUAAUUCUUUUUCGACAACCAUUCAAGCACACCGGUGCAAAUAUCUCCAACUUACAUCACCCGAGCAAAAAUUAAUAAGCAAUUUCAUAGUAGAAUAAAUAAUUUCAAAAAUAAGCAAGCAAUUAAUUACACAUGAGGAAAAUGUUCCUUAAAAUUAGAUCUAGUUUUCUAUAUAGGAAGAGGUUCCUUAUAUAUAUUUAUAUUAUGUCAUAUUCUACAACCGUUAGUGGAUGACAAAGGUCAAUUACAUUGUAUAUGUGUAGAAAUUGAUGUCUAGUACUAAAACCUUUUUACUUUUAUUAUUUAUAUCUAUAUAUAUAUAUAUAUAUCUAUAGAAUAUAGUUCAAAUAUUUUCUUCUUGUAAAUAUGAGAUAAUAAUAUUGUUUUAUGUAAAAUACUCAUUCUCGUAUAAGGGCAAUUUCUAUGUUAUAGAAUAUUAACUCUCUUGAUUUACUAAUUAGAUUUGAAAAAACAUAACACAACUAUUAAUAUUUAUUCUCGUAUAUGAGAUGUAAAUAUGAUUUUACAUAGAAUAUUUAUUUCUAUGUAGAUGUAGUAAUUUACAUCGUUAUAAUAUUAAUUCUUGUUUAUUUAGUAGAAAGAAAGUUAUAAUGUCUAUGUUAUAAACUAUUCAUCUAUGUAUAUUAGAUAUAAUUUCUAUAUUAUUAAAUAUUCAUUAUCUUGUAUUAUACAUAGUUUUUUAUGUUAUAAAAUAAAGUUAAAUACAUCUUUAAUUCUAAUAAAAUUGUAACUUUUUUAUGAUAACUUCGUUUGAAAAAUGAUUUUAACUCACAUGUCUUAGUUAAAUAAAGUACAUUUCUCAAUUGAACAAAAAAAAAAAUACUUCAACUUAUUCGUUAAAACAUAAAAAUAUAUAACAAAAGUACAUAUAAGACUUAUUUCUUCUUCUCUCCUACUCCAUAAUCCCUAAUCUUUCUAAGAAUAAUGAAUAUCUCUUCAUGCUUCUUUUUUGCACGUUUGUGUGUUCCAAUUUUUUCUUUACAACUGUGAGUUUCUUGUUAUCUUUUCCGAUCUUUGAGCAACUCAAUUAUAUCUUCUCAUAAGUCGCAGACCGCUAAUGAGAUUUCUUACAAAAUACACUCUCUUAUUUGUUUUCCCCUUGCAAUUUGAGGGGUGUGGAACCAAUUCCUUCUUAGUAACGUGACUCUAGUUCAAUCCAACAAACAAAACAGAGUUGGGUUGUUUAGGAGUCGUUUCCCUAUCAUUUCGGUGAACUUAAAUUUUUUAUACUUUAAUACUAUUUUUUUAAGAUAAAACCUAAGAAUGUUAUAUAAACAUGAUGAAUCUACUCGUAUUUUGGGAAGAUUCAGUGUAAAAAUAUUUAUUAAGUUAUGAUUAUUUUUUGCCCAAAAAAUUUAUUAUUAUUUGUUUAUUUAAUAUUAUAUUUAUUCUAUUAUUUGUAAUAGAUUAUAAUAAUCGAUAAUGAAAAGAAAAGUUACAAUUUGACCAAAUUAAUUAAAUAAAAUAUUCAAAGAAACGAGUGACAUGAUAAUAAAUAAAAAUAAAAAAUUUAAAUUUGGAUGAAAGUAUAUUUAAAAAAAUAACGUUAUUAAAAAUUCAUUUUUUUAUUUAUAAAGUUAUAAAAAUAAAACAUAACUAUACACUUGUAUUUUAGUCUUAACAGGUUACAUAAAUCACUCAAAUUUUCUCCUAACUAGACAAACUUGAUAGACUUAAUUGCAGUUUUGGUCUCUCUAUUUUAGCUAAAUCACGAAAGUAGUUCCCCCAUUUUAUUUCUCCUCCAUUUUGGUCCCCCAAACUGAAUUUUGAUCCAAAACUUGAUGAAGUGACAUUUUUUGAAGUCACACCACACCAUUUAUGAUCAUAGGUUUCAUGUAUAAUUGUUGCACAACGAGAUCUUGAGACAUGAUAUGACUUAAAUAAAUGCAAAAAAAUGAAAUUUCAUCAAGUUUUAUACCAAAGUUCUGAUUUGGGGGACUAAAAUUGAGGAGAAAUAAAAUGGGGGGGACUACUUUCACGAUUCAGCUAAAAUAAGGGGAUCAAAACUGCAGUUAAGCCAACUUGAUAAUACUUAAAAACAAGUCACUUAAGUUUUAUCUCAACUAGAUAAACUUGAUUAUGUUUAUCAUAAGACGAUACUGAUGAUUUGUUUUGGAUCUGAUCACAAUACUAUUAUUGAAAUAGGUUGAAUCAAGAACACACUUAAAAGUUUGAUCCUAAAAUCUAUGACAAAGAGUAGUAGUGUGUUUCUUGAUAAUUAAAGAGAAAUUUGAUAGUUUUACACUUAAGGAAGUGAAAUAUGUUUGAUUGUAGUCUCUUGGAGAUUGCAACUUAAAGCAUAAUUUAUUUAUAGACUUGGGAUAGCUCCCUAUUGUUGUAAAUGACACAUAUAACCAGAACACAUGUCCCAAUGUGUUGGAAUAUGCUGCUUGAAUGUCCUUUUCUUUAUGGAUAAUCAUCAUCUUCUUUGAAGAUAUUUAUGAUCAUCAUCUACUUUGUAUGAAAAUAUCUUCAUCAAUAUGAAGAUAUCCUCUUCUGUUUUGAACAUGAUAGAGGAGUUCGAUCGUCCUCUUGACAGCUUGAUACAACCUAUCAUAAGCUGUAAGGUAGAUGUGUGAGCUUGCAAUGAGUUAUCAUUUGUACUUAUAGUACAUAACAUUCUCUACUCAACGUCCUUGUGUUUGAACAUCUUCAAGUCUAAAGAAUAUGCACGAGUAUGACUAAAAAAUAUAAUUAAAUCUUCAUAAAGAGUUAAUUUGUUUUUGCACACGUAUAUAGUGACAAUUUGUCCCUUUUAAAAUAUUCUUUUUGCUCUUUGUGUCAUAUGAGAAUGUUUUUUUGUACUAUGAUGUACAUUUUGUCAUUUAUGUUUUGAUUGUCAUUAAUGAAUAUCCUCACUUCUUCAAUUAACGAAACUGAUGAUGAACACUUUCAAUUUUGAGAAUGAUGAAUGUAACACCUCAAAUUUUAUAAUAAACUAUUUUAUUAAUUAAAUAGGAUUUUAAAUAAUUAAUUUGACGUUAAAAUUAUUUUAUAAUAUAUGUUAAUAGAUUUUGGGAUUAAUUUUUGUUGUAUAGGUGCUUUAUAUGAUAUGCUAGUUUUAUAAAUAUUAGAUUAAAUGUGCGAUAUAAAUAAUAAAUAUUUUAUUUUAUUAUUUGAUAUAAUUUUUAAAAAUAAUAGUACUUUAGUGUAAUAUUUUAAAGAAAAAUAUUUUAUGCGAUUUUACGUUUAAAUAUGCACGCAGUUAUAUUUCAAUUAUUUAUAACUAUUUUCUAUUUUUAGUUUUUUUUAAUAAUUAUCUUGGGAUAGUAGGGAUAUUGUGUUUGAUUUUCUUUAUUUUUAUAUACUUGUUAUGACAUUGUGAUUAUAUAUAUAUAUAUAUAUUUACUAUGAUUUAGUAAUUAACAUAAACUAUUGAUUUUAUACUUAUUUAUUUUAUAACUUUGAAUAUUCUCUAAUGAUGGUAGUAUUUUAAUGUGAGUAUUUAAAAUAAAAUAAAAAGUAUCGUUAGGGUGAUUAUUUUGAAUAUGAGGGUUUUGAUUAUUAAUAUAUUUAAAAAGAUUAAUUACUUUAUUUUAUAAAAUAUUACUUUGGAAAUAUUAGUAAUAUUUAGUAAUUAAAUCAUGUUAAAAAAAUGUUAAAACAUUAGUUUUAGUAAUUAUUAGUUUUAUUUAAAAAUAAAUAAAUAGACCGAUGGGUUUGACCCAUGAACCUAAUUGUUAAUAAAAUAAAACAAACAAAAAAUGGGGAAGGGAGUUGGACGGCAGCUGUAAAGCCAAAGAGAAACACAACAACAACAACCUAUCAUUUGACAUCGGUGAUCGAUAACUGUUCUAGAAAACUUUGUCUGAUUUCAUCCAAAUUUUAGUAUGUUGUUUCACUAAUUUAGUUAGUUAUUUAAACAUGUUUUUCCAUAUCUUUAGCCAUUCAAAAUUCUCUCUAAAAUAUCCGACUUCUCUGUUUGUCAAUUUCUUAUUUUGCACCGUUCUUAUUCAUCGUAAGUCCGAUUUGAGUGAACCAACGCCAAAACGAUCGUGUGAAAAAUGGUUAUAUUAUCCACUGAUUGGUUUUCUAAUUUAUUGUAAGUUUCCUUGACCGAAUUUUGAAAUUAGUUUUAGAAUGUCUUCUCAUAAUUUAUUUUUAACGUUUACCCAUAAACUGUCAAGUUAGAUCGAUUGAAGGACAAAUAGUCACUGAACAAAUGUUGUUUGCUCGUGAAAUUGUAUUCUUGUGUGAAAGCGUCGAAAUAAGGUAAGGGGUGAGAGAGCGUUUGAAUUCACGAGUAUAAUAUAUUGUGAGAUGAACGGGAAAACUGUAUUUUUCAACGAUUCAUCUAGGGCUUGCUACGUACGGCAGUAGCCCUUGAGAGAUAAAUUAAUUGAUAUGCAAGUGUGAAAAUUGUGAGAAUAAAAAGUGGAAUAGAAAUAUUUAUAAGGUGUUGAUUGAUUUAAUUUCGUUAAAUGUGUCUAUUUAAUAUUGUUGUGAUAUUGAGUGUCGAAUGAAUUUUAUGUAUAUGUUUGAUUCAACGAGUUUAUGUGAUGUGUUAAUAAAAAGUGAAUUCAUUUUGAUAAGUUUAUGUGAUUAUGAUGAUGUAUAAUUAAUAACAAUGAUGUUAUAAAUUAGUGACAAGUAUAUGUGAUGAUGUACGAUUGAUGAUAGUGUUGCUAUAAAAUUGUAAUGAAUUUAUGUGAUGAGAUACGAUUAAUGAUAGUGAUGUUGUGAAUUUAUGAUGGGAAUAUUGAAGUAACCCCAUAGUUGGUGAAAUAAUUGUGAUUCCAAUUUGUGUUUGAGAUGACGGUCUUAAUGGAGUAUCAUGGGUCAACGGGAGAGAAAAUAAAUAUUAAGAAUUUGUGAAGUGAAUAUUAUUUUGUCAUCAUAUAGGUAGGGUCUGACAAGCCUAUUGAUUUUGGGGAAAUACAACUGAAUGAGCUUGAUCGUGGCGGUCUGUUAUUGAGCCUUAAGGCAAGAUUGUUAGACCUUAGAGGUAUUCGAGUGGGGAAUUCAUAUGUGACUUAGAGGCAGCACUCCAAAUAUUGGGAACUACCAUGCAACAGAUGUUUACCUCGACUGUCGCAUAUAUGUGUUUUAGGUUGAGUUGAGGGGAUCUAUGAGGACAUGACCAAUUUGAAUUGUCCGUCCAUCGGGAUGGUGGCAUAGUAUCAAGCCUCCUAACCAAGUACUUCAGAGUUAGAAUGGUACCACAUUAUGAAUUAGAGUCUAAGCUCAUGCAUAGCAUUGCAUUUUCUUAUGAUUGUUUUGUUGUGAUUAAUAUGUGUCGUGUGUGAUAAUAAUUUUUCUUAUAUGAUUUAAUGUUAUAGUGAAAUGUAUUGAUUUUCCUUGAGUGAUUUUGACUUUAUAAUGUUAUGUUUUUUCUUGAAAAAUGUUUGUGUAAUGAUACAGUUCAUUUAUGAUUAAUUGUGUGUUCUCCUUACUUAUAUUAUACUAUUAACAUGAUUUUGAAGCUCAUCUCCUUCGUUGUUUGUGUUUGACUGAUUUGUCCAUGCGUUUGCAAAAUCGCAGUUAUUACAGAUUAAUGAGUCUUGAAGUUCAGGUUUGGGAG